rnacentral:lncRNA from 1 species
CACGCCUGCACCCAGGCGCUCAUUAAAACAGCAUGUUGCUCCCCACUGCCUCGUGUUGUCUGUUGGCGCGCUGUCGGGGUUCGAACCGAUACAAGAACCUUCCACCUACCUGGUGCUUUGGCCUCAUCUAUAAGCAGCUUUUCCACUGUCCUGAAACAAGAUAGAGAAUCUGAGCGGCCAGUCAUCUGCCCUAAGUGCUGCCGCCGAAGACUGAAUGUCCUGGAAAGUUUGCUGUCACAUCUCCAUUAUGACAAAAGCAUUGUGCCGAACAGAUGAAAAAAUGCAUUGUCAACGGAAUCUUUUAUGUUUGUU